UAUUUAUUAGAUAAAAAACCAAUGCCCUUCGGGGCUCCUUGGUGAAUCAUAAUAACUUAACGAAUCGCAUGGCCUUGCGCCGGCGAUGGUUCAUUCAAAUUUCUGCCCUAUCAACUUUCGAUGGUAGGAUAGUGGCCUACCAUGGUAUCAACGGGUAACGGGGAAUUAGGGUUCGGCUCCGGAGAGGGAGCCUGAGAAACGGCUACCACAUCCAAGGAAGGCAGCAGGCGCGCAAAUUACCCAAUCCCGACACGGGGAGGUAGUGACAAUAAAUACUGAUACAGGGCUCUUUUGGGUCUUGUAAUUGGAAUGAGUACAACUUAAAUCCCUUAACGAGGAACAAUUGGAGGGCAAGUCUGGUGCCAGCAGCCGCGGUAAUUCCAGCUCCAAUAGCGUAUAUUAAAGUUGUUGCAGUUAAAAAGCUCGUAGUUGAACCUUGGGCCUGGCUGGCCGGUCCGCCUCACCGCGUGUACUGGUCCGGCCGGGCCUUUCCUUCUGGGGAACCUCAUGCCCUUCACUGGGCGUGUUGGGGAACCAGGACUUUUACUUUGGAAAAAUUAGAGUGUUCAAAGCAGG
rnacentral:rRNA from 1 species